GGCGGUGGUGGGUCAUCCCGAUCGGCUUUAGGAGUUUGAGUUUUCUUAACCGAGCGCUCCCUAAAUUGGUAAGGAAAGCGUGAAAAGCGAGGCAACAGUUGGAAGCGGUCUUCAAACAGCCGGUAACCUUACCUGCUCCCUGCUCUCCACGUCCUGCACCAGAACUAAACCUCCUCUAGAGUCCCAGGAAAGAUCUGAAGCCACGUGGAAAUUACAACCUGAAAAUGACAUGUGCCCAGCAUCGUGUGCAUUACGAAAGCCAGGGAAUAAGAAGUUCACUCCUCAAAUACGACCCGCUGCGCUGAGGAGUAAGGACUGAACACAGAAUUGACAAGAACACCUUGGUGUGGCUCCUACCUUUUUUGCAGAAGUUGUCCCUCUCUAAAAGAAACAUUUAAAUGCCAUGCGAUGGUGCACCAAAGAACUCUGUAUUAGGGAGCAGUUGCAAAUUUGAGCAGCACUGAGAAUAAUGAUUAUGACUUUUAGAUUCAGGGUACCUCAGUCUACCUACAGACAUUCAGGCGAGUGAUUGACCAUUACAGGGACUUGCGCUGACCUGGUGUCCUCCUGCCCUGGCUGCUGUGUGUUGUUCUAUUACUGCCUACUACAAGUCACCCUUCCUGCUGGGAUGACAGGCAAUGAGCUGCUCAUCAUUAUUUCAGAUUCAGUCACAGGAACGUACCUGAGUUUCAACAUAGCAAUAUCCAAUUGCCAAACAGAAUAAUUCAGAAGCUUCCAAGGAUCAUCUGCAAAUUCCCAUCCAUGGCAGCAGAAGACCAAAAUCAUUAGCGCCAGCUUGGACCCAAGAGCUGGCUGUGCAAACUGCAUGGCAAUCCAGAACGGGCAGAUACUCAUUUCAGAUUCAUUCUGAAAAUCAUCAACUGAGGAUUCUGUUCUAGAGGAUGACUCCCUUCUUUAAUGAAGCAAAGGUGUCUUCUGCACCCCCUAUCUCCUACCAAAAGGGAGAAAACAAAAUGCAAGGGAGGAGGUGUGACUGAGCAGAAUUCAACAGUGCUCGUCACUCACUGGCGCUGUAUGUCACAGAAUGAAUCAGAGUCCUUCAUUUUACUUUUGCUGGGUCUUGAGGCCAGCAUGGGACGAUAUCCUCAGUCAGGAGGGUGUAAUAUACUGCUUGUCUUUUCUGCUCUGCUAAAUCAAGCUAUUUUGCAGGAGAGAACACGUAUUGUCAAGCUAUCGCUGGCAUUCAUUCCUUCUAGAGCUUAUUCUUCACUAGGGAUCCAGUUGUACUUACAGUAUAUGCUCUGUCAUAUUCUUUGAGCCUGAGGGUGUAUCACAAAAAAAUAAUCCACAGAUUCUUCUUUUUUUUUUUUAAUUUAGCUUUUGAUAUGCCUGAUAGAAAAAUAACCCUAAAUCUGGGUAAUCCAGUUUGCAGAACAUCUGAAGCAUAAGUCAUUUCAGAGUUUGAACCAAACCCAAAUCCAUUCACAUCAAAUCAAUUUAUUUAAUUAUUUCAAAACCACCUUCCAGUUCCACCCCCAGAGCCUAUUUAUGUGCCUUGCCAGUAUAGCUAGCAUUGUGGACUGGCUUCCCAUUUAUAUUCACAUGUAGAACAAUAGGAUGCACUAUAAAAAACAUGCAUUUUGUGACACAUCCAUCUAAAUGUGUCAGCGUAUGGCAGGGGAUCCUUUCCUGCAGGUGCAAGCUUUGCAAAUGGCAGUUGCAUUAGAAAAGUCUCAUCUGACAUACAAACUGUGGAGUUGUGGUACCUGUGUGAACAGAAUGAGUAUCGGUUCUCUCCAUCCAUGGAUAUUUUUCUGAGUAAGAAAAAGCUUAGCUUUGUAAAGAGUACAAUAAAGAGUAGGAAAGAUCACUUCAGUAAGUUGCAAAGAAUAGUCGUGCAAAUCCAAAAGGGUAAUUUUGUGAAGUGAUUAAUUGCUUAUGCUGUGAAGGCUGCAUGGCCUGAAGUAAAAAUGCACAUGCUAUCAUCCCCAGAUUUUUUAAGAGUUCAGUAAUAAAGGUAGAGGAUAUAUAAUUUACAAACCUUUUCAGGACAUCUUGGGAACUAAGAGGCUAGAAAUAAAAGACAUGCUGAUGUUUACAUGAAUACACCUCCAAAUGCAAUGUCUUAUGUUUUCAAUUAGGGAUGCACCUUGUCUUCUGCAGGUGAGACCCGACCAAAAAAAAAAAAACCCUCCAGCAAAAGAAUGGAGAUUUACUUUGGCUGUCAGAGGUAGCUUGUUGCCAUCCACAGACUAUCAACUCUGCUUGCACUGGCUAAAUUCAUAGACCUUUGCCUUUUGGGACUUUUCUGACUUUUAUCUGAAGUAGCUUGCCCUUUUUUUGCAGAGAAAUUACUUUGUACUGCCCCAAAAUCCCACUCUUAGAUUUGGUGUUCUUGUAUCCUGAGAAACCGAGGACUCACAAGUCUCCUCAUUCUUCUCUCCGUUUGCUCAAUUUUUUCCCUUUCCUCCAUUAAGCUCAUUUGCUAAAUGUUUCUCCAUGCUUCCUCUGCUGUUAACUCCAUCAUUUCAUGGAGUACCAGGUAAUUUAAAAGGAGGACAAUUUCACAGAAUCAUUUGGGUUGGAAGGGACCUCUUGAGAUGAUCUAGUCCAAGCCCCUGCUCAAGCAGGGUCCCUAGAGGCGGUUACCCAGGACUGUGUCCUAUUGGGUUUUGAGCAUCUCCAAGGAUGGAGACUCCACAGCCUCUCUGGGCAGCCUGCUCCAGAGUUUGGCCACCCUCACAGUAAAAAACCCGUUUUUUGCUGUGUUCGUGUUUACCCUUAGUAAAGAGGUUUAGAAGUCACAAACCUGUCACACCUUCCAACCUGUUUCUUCGCACACCUUGUUGACUGCUGUUAGGGAAAGACUCGUGACUGUGGGAACUCUGCAAUUACAGACAUGUUCGUUCUUUUUUACAUCCUUGGUCCAAAGCUAACUGAUAUCUUUAUCUUCAAUUGGGACCUUAAUUUUACCAUUUUCCUAGACGAAAAUGUCAGUAUUUCCAUGUUUGCUGUAUGUGAUUCCCUGUUAAAUUCCCUCUCAUUUUGUUUUAUUCUGUGUAUACAACUCUUACUGACAUUUAAUCAAGAAAACUAGUGACCUGUCAUAGCCUUUUCCCACUGCUAUUAUACUAAGACCUGACAUGUCUUAAAGUGAAUUCCUGUCUUGUUUCAGAAUAUUUGCUCUUUGUUUUGCAGUGUUCAUACUACACAAUCUCUUCACCUCCCAAACCUAUACAUUCUUCCAGACCAAAGUGUUUUUCGUUUUAUCUUGUGUCUUGCAUCCAAAAGUCAAAAUAUAAUGCUGGACCAUGUUUUUGCUUACCACGAAAGGUUUUUUUCAGAACUCUAUUAUGCAUUCUUACCACUGUCAGUGCCCUCUUCCUGGCUCCUACCCUCUAAUUGUUAGGAGUUUUCUAUGCUCAUCUUCUGAAUCUGUCAUUUUCACCCUUUAUAAUCAUAUCACACAUUCUUAUCACACCCAAGAUUUUUUUUUCUCUUCAUGUUCAAGGCUCUCUGAGCCCCCUACAAUAAAAGGGGACAAUAAAGACUCCUUCUACUAACCAACAAGAA